rnacentral:rRNA from 1 species
AUUGAACGCUGGCGGCAGGCCUAACACAUGCAAGUCGAGCGGAUGAAGGAAGCUUGCUCCUGGAUUCAGCGGCGGACGGGUGAGUAAUGCCUAGGAAUCUGCCUGGUAGUGGGGGAUAACGUCCGGAAACGGGCGCUAAUACCGCAUACGUCCUGAGGGAGAAAGUGGGGGAUCUUCGGACCUCACGCUAUCAGAUGAGCCUAGGUCGGAUUAGCUAGUUGGUGGGGUGAAGGCCUACCAAGGCGACGAUCCGUAACUGGUCUGAGAGGAUGAUCAGUCACACUGGAACUGAGACACGGUCCAGACUCCUACGGGAGGCAGCAGUGGGGAAUAUUGGACAAUGGGCGAAAGCCUGAUCCAGCCAUGCCGCGUGUGUGAAGAAGGUCUUCGGAUUGUAAAGCACUUUAAGUUGGGAGGAAGGGCAGUAAGUUAAUACCUUGCUGUUUUGACGUUACCAACAGAAUAAGCACCGGCUAACUUCGUG